rfam:Eimeria praecox, Houghton, WGS project CBTT01000000 data, contig: Eph_scaff3664_1
AAACCUAUCAUUUAAAUUGGAAAAGAUAAAAACCUUCUAAGUUUUUAAUGUAGGUUCAAAUCCUACUAGGUUUA